rnacentral:rRNA from 1 species
GACGAACGCUGGCGGCGUGCCUAAUACAUGCAAGUCGAACGCAGAGGGGACGGGUGAGUAACACGUGGGUAACCUCCCAUCAGAGGGGAUAACACUUGGAAACAGGUGCUAAACCGAUACUGAUGGAUGGACCCGCGGUGCAUGAGCUAGUUGGUGAGGUAACGGCUCACCAAGGCAACGAGGCAUAGCCGACCGGAGCGAGUGAUCGGCCACACUGGGAGUGAGACAAGCCCCAGGCUACGACGGGAGGGAGCAGUAGGGAAUCGGCGGCAAUGGACGAAAGUCUGACCGAGCAACGCCGCGUGAGUGAAAGAGGCUUUCGGAGCGGAAAACUCUGUUGUGAGUGAAGCGGUAUCUAACCAGAAAGCCACGGCUAACUACGUGCCAGCCGCCGCGGUAAUUC